UGAUCAGCCAUGCCGCGUGAGUGAUGAAGGCCUUCGGGUUGUAAACUUCUUUUGUCCGGAACGAAAAUGACCGUACUAAUACCAAUAAGCUCAUGACGGCUCCGUGAGAAUAACCGCCGGCUUACUACGUGCCAGCAGCCUCUGUAAUACUUAUGGUGCUAACGUUAAUCUAAAUUACUGGGCAUAAAGCGUGUGAAAGCCGUGAUCUAAAACAGGUGUGAAAUCCCCGGGCUGAACCUGGGAACUGCAUUAGAGACUGCAUCGAUUGAGUGUGGCAGAGGGGGAUGGAAUUCCGUGUGUAGCAGUGAAAUGCGUAAAUGUGCGGAGGAACACCGAUGGCGAAGGUAAUCCCCUGGGCCUGCACUGACGCUCAUGCACAAAAGCGUGGGGAGCAAACAGGAUUAGAUACCCUGGUUGUCCACGCCCUAAACAUAUGUCAACUGGUUGUUGGGUCUUCACUGACUCAGUAACCAAGCUAACGCGUGAAGUUGACCGCCUGGGGAUA
rnacentral:rRNA from 1 species